rnacentral:rRNA from 1 species
UACGUAGGGAGCAAGCGUUGUCCGGAAUCAUUGGGCGUAAAGCGCGCGUAGGUGGCUUCGUAAGUCCGUCGUGAAAGUCAAAGGCUCAACCUUUGAAAGCCGAUGGAUACUGUGAAGCUAGAGUACGGAAGAGGCGAGUGGAAUUCCUGGUGUAGCGGUGGAAUGCGCAGAUAUCAGGAGGAACACCAAUAGCGAAGGCAGCUCGCUGGGACGUUACUGACACUGAGGCGCGAAAGCGUGGGGAGCGAACAGG